ACUCUGUAAUUCUAUAAUACUCUGUGCCUCUCUCUAAUGUUGUAUUAUUCCUGCAUAUUCACCCAUCUGUUCCCAUCACCAGAUUGUGACAUAACCAAAGGCAAAAAUUCUUGGUUGACUGAUAUGUCUAUUUCCUGACACAGAAUGGGUUUCAAGAGAUGUCUGAUUAAUAAACAAAUGAUUGGUCUGUACUUUGUAGUAUUAUUAAGUUCUGCAAACCAGGAUCUAACUCAGUGCUUGGUACAUAAGAGGUACUGACAAUUAUUAUUAUUGUUAUUAUUAUUAUUUUAAUCAAAGGAUAAGUCAAAACUCUCCAGUCUUUCUAAUUAAUAUGAAUGCUGAGAUAGCUGAAGACAGAACUCUGGAGUCUGGAAAUCUGGCAUCUUUCACAACCAAGGCUAGAUUCAGACCUUUAGAAAUCCAAAACACUGAAAACGUUGUGCCAUUUAAAAUUAAAAUAAAACUGACAUGAAUAGUGAAAUCUAAACAGCUUGUUUUUAGGAUGCCAGAUUGUGAAGUCCAUCAAAGAUGAGCUUCCUCUUCCCCCUCUUUUUGGGUGCUUUUGGGUUCUUCCAGUUGUCUAUUUUGUGAUUCACCUUACCUCGGCAGUGACUUGCCCAGGGUCAUACAGCUAGUUAGUAGGAGAACCCAGUACAGGUCAGUGAUCUUCCUGCCUUGUCAUGAUGCUCUGGUUCUCCUUCUCAUCACCAGGUGUUUCCAGGCAUGUGUUUGGAGUAACAGUUAAUUCUAUCAAUUUCAGGGCUAACUUCUUGGAGGGUUGGAUUCAAUCAAAUGAAGCCAGACUUAAUCAGACUGGUCAACUAGUCUGAACAGGACACCCUGAAUUCUUUCCAUACAGCAAAAAGUCCUUCCUGUUCACCCCCUGUGGAGUCAGCCAGAUGUUGCUGCUGCCCGGAGGUAUUGAGCAUCUACGGCAUGGAAAGUUCUCUUCUUCUCUGUUCCCUGUGGCAUCAGGGUGGACAUGGCUGCUGGCACAUGGUAGCUGUCUAAUAAACACUAGUUUCCUCUCUCCUUCACUGCCAUUUACCCAGGGGAAGAAUCAAGGGGAGGACUCUGUGCUCCUCUGA
rnacentral:lncRNA from 12 species